rnacentral:lncRNA from 1 species
ACCCAGAGGGCUUCCUUCAAGUCCUCUCGCCGAGUCUGUGUAGAGGCAACCAGUCAUCAGGGGAAGGAGUGAGCUCACCAGGCUGCUAGGGAGGACCGGAGCUGGAGAACCAGAGGUGGUCAGGUGAGCUGGGGGGGUUCAGGGCAGGAGAAGGGUUGCUCUGUCAUCCUCAUCCCAGGAGGACACCCAGACUGUCCUUCCCAUCAGACGGCAGUUGAAGACUUCCAGAUUCUUUCCCCACUGUCGUCCUCUCUGAUCCUCACAACAGCCCUGUGAGGGUGACGGGAGCCUGUGUGAAGGCAGGUGCCCCAGACGCUGACGCCACUGUCUGCAGGGCCCAGAAUCUGCACUUUUAUGGUCUCCCACAGGCGGGCUGAGGCUGGGUUUCCAGAACUGCCACCAGGCAACCACUGCCCAGCAGCAGUCUGUAUCACAGAGGAUGGUCUUGCGAGUCAUGGAAGGAAACUCAAGUGACAAUGUUCCCAGGCCCCCAGACCCACCUCUGGCCAGCAAGACCCUCCAGGCAGCUGCAGUUGGCAGCGGGAGAGCCACCCUCACAUAGGCUGCCAUCGAGGCAGGUGACAUUCAG